GGAUGAACGCUGGCGGUCUGCUUAACACAUGCAAGUCGAACGAACUCUUACGGAGUGAGUGGCGGACGGGGUGAGUAACGCGUGAGAAUCUGCCUGUGGGUCGGGGACAACCACUGGAAACCGGUGGCUAAUACCGGGAUGAGCCGAAAAGGUAAAGAUUUAUUGCCCCACAGAUGAGCUACGCGGUCUGGAUUAGCUAGUUGGUAAGGUAAAAGCGUACCAAGGCGACGAUCAGUAGCUGGUCUGAGAGGAUGAGCAGCCACACUGGGACUGAGACACGGCCCAGACUCCUACGGGAGGCAGCAGUGGGAAUUUUCCGCAAUGGGCGAAAGCCGUGACGGAGCAAGACC
rnacentral:rRNA from 1 species